rnacentral:rRNA from 1 species
UACCAGCACCCCGAGUGGUCGGGACGAUUAUUGGGCCUAAAGCGUCCGUAGCCGGUCAUGCAAGUCUUCCGUUAAAUCCAGCCGCUCAACGGUUGGGCUGCGGAGGAUACUACGUGGCUAGGAGGCGGGAGAGGCAAGCGGUACUCAGUGGGUAGGGGUAAAAUCCUUUGAUCCAUUGAAGACCACCAGUGGCGAAGGCGGCUUGCCAGAACGCGCUCGACGGUGAGGGAUGAAAGCUGGGGGAGCAAACCGG